rnacentral:rRNA from 4 species
UGACCUCUGACCUCAAAUCAGGUAGGACUACCCGCUGAACUUAAGCAUAUC